rnacentral:lncRNA from 1 species
AUCAUGUGACCAUCUUAGGGAGGGGGAAAGACUAGAUAUGAGUGGGAAAUCUUGGAAGCCAUUCACAUUGGAAAUGAGAAAGAUAAUUGUGUCAGUGAUACAUCCUCGUGUUUAACAAAGAAUCCACAUGCUUACGUAUUGAGU